rnacentral:rRNA from 1 species
UACAUAGGCAGCGAGCGUUGUUCGGAUUUACUGGGCGUAAAGGGCGCGUAGGCGGCAAUUCAAGUCAUCUGUGAAAUCUCCGGGCUUAACCCGGAACGGUCAGAUGAUACUGCUUUGCUAGAGUGCGGAAGGGGCAAUCGGAAUUCUUGGUGUAGCGGUGAAAUGCGUAGAUAUCAAGAGGAACACCUGAGGUGAAGACGGGUUGCUGGGCCGACACUGACGCUGAUAGCGCGAAAGCCAGGGGAGCAAACGGG